CCAGACUCCUACGGGAGGCAGCAGUGGGGAAUAUUGGGCAAUGGGCGCAAGCCUGACCCAGCAACGCCGCGUGAAGGAAGAAGGCCCUCGGGUUGUAAACUUCUUUUAUCAAGGACGAAACAAAUGACGGUACUUGAUGAAUAAGCCACGGCUAACUACGUGCCAGCAGCCGCGGUAAUACGUAGGUGGCAAGCGUUAUCCGGAUUUAUUGGGUGUAAAGGGUGCGUAGACGGGCUAACAAGUUAGUUGUGAAAUCCCUCGGCUCAACUGAGGAACUGCAACUAAAACUAUUAGUCUCUGAGUGCGGGAGAGGAAAGUGGAAUUCCUAGUGUAGCGGUGAAAUGCGUAGAUAUUAGGAGGAACACCAGUGGCGAAGGCGACUUUCUGGACCGUAACUGACGUUGAGGCACGAAAGUGUGGGGAGCAAACAGGAUUAGAUACCCGGGUA
rnacentral:rRNA from 1 species